CCCUAGAGCAUCAUGGGAGGAGUCGGGUGGAAGGAUGGAGAGGCCGGAAGUGAUCCGCCGCCACGAUCGAUGCCUGGCGUGAGGCGACAGCGGCGCCCGCACAAAGACCCAGAAGGCCAGCUUUGAAGAAAACCUGGAGAAAAGGAGAAUCAUUAGUCUUCUUCGUGGUACAGGAGAUACAGAAAUAGCAGAAGGGUAUGGAUCAGACAACUCACAUCAAAGAUCUCAAAGCCAGCGAUGUCCAGGACCCCGAUGAAGUACUGCCUGGGCUGCUUGGUGUCCAGCUGCUGGUUGAUGCGGGUGACCAUCCACAGGAACAUCUUCUCAUAGACGGCCUUGGCCAGAGCGCCCACCGCAUUGUACACCUUCAUGGACAGAGUGGUGAUUGUUGACGUACCAAAGACAUGCUGAGAAGGCCUAGGAUGUGUGUCAUUCAUUGAGGUCGUGCACUCACCUGCUGCACAGUCUGGCCUUUGGUGACAUACUCGUUGCCGACCUUGACCCUGGGGUAGCAGAGGGCUUUGAGCAGUGUGUGUAUGUGUAUGUGUAUGUGACUUACAUCUGUAGCCAUCAGCUCCUCUUGGUCAUCAAUGCUGGGGACUGUGAUCUCCCCUUGGCUGACGAAGGCAUAGUCAUAUGGAUUGGUGGUGAUCAGGAGCAUUUCUGAGUGCAUAUAAUUCAAGAUGAUUUAAAAACAAGGGCAGCAGAACAAGCAAAUGAAAACUAAAAAAGAACAAAACCCUUUCAGUUUCCAAAACUCUAUGGAACAACAGGAAACUCUGGAGUUUAAAAUAUCUCCAAAGGCACUACAUUUGGUGUGUGAAGAUAAAAGGUUUUAAUGCCAUAUUUGGGCCUAUAAUGCGUAUCAAAGCUGUUUAUGCUUUGAUAAGACAGGAAUAAAAGAGUUUGAUAUAAUUUCAAAAAUAUUUUCAGAGGAAGAGGUAUUUUUAUUUUCUUCCAUUCUAGUAGGAAGAAACUUCAGAAUCAUCAGGAGGAAAGUGGUAGCUCUUUAUUUACACGGGUUAUACCCUAAAGGCUGUCAGUUUGUUUAAAGAUAAGAAUUCACAAAGCUUUCUAGCUGUAGCUGGUAACUGUGUUCCUUGAUCGCUGUGGAUGUGCUUAUUUUAAAAUCAUUGAUUGGAACUUUUCUCCUGUUGAAAUCAGAAAUUACAACCUGUGGGAAAGCAGCAGAUGUGUUUACAGAGGUCUAUUAAUUGUUUCCGCCUGGGUUCUGCUUACUAACUGGGUUAGCUUGGGCAGGUAGGUCAAUGAACUCAGCCAGCUUCCCUUUACUCUCUCUAACAUGGGGAUGACUGCUGUGAAGAAUAUAUGAUACUGUAGUUCUUGGAAGUUCCUUGAAAACAGUGAAGCCCCAUGCGGCUACAAUGUAUUAUUAUAAUCAGAGCCCAGACAGUCUGUUUGUUUGUUAAGGAUUCUGUUUCCACAUUUCUGUGAAUAGUUGUGUCACUCACUCACCGGUCAGCAUGAACUGAUAGGCAUUGUCAGAGAUGGAGAAGAUGUGGGGCGGGGCCUCUUGGCGCUUCUUGCCUCGGUAGGCGGCCACCACCUCGGGGUUGUACACUGGCAGCCACUUGUAGGGGUUGACGGUGACGCAGAAGAGGCCCGAGUAGGUCUGAGAAAACCAGAGAGUGCAACAUGUGGAUCUUGUCUUUACUCAGAGAGAGAGACAGAAUAAGGACAUCCUGAAAGGCACUCACAUAGAUCAUCCAGGCUGCAUAACGCUCUUUGAGGUUGUACAGCACUCCAGGCUCGUGCAGGUGUGUCAUCAUGGCCAUGUCCUCGAUCUUGUCAUAUUUCGGAGGGUUCAUGGGGAAGACUUGGUCCUCUCUGACAGUCAGAGUCUGGCAAGUAAAGCAAGAGACCACUUCAUAUAAAUGGUGGGACGUGGGGUUGGUUUGUCUAUUUGCUUUGUUUAUAAGACUAUCAUUACAGACACUUUCCAUUAUAUUAUUCAGUAUUCUUUAAACAAAGGCAUGAAAUUAUAUUUGUUUCAGAGUCUGAUGCUAAGAAAAUACGUCUCCUAUGACAAACUAGAAUACUACGUUUUUUAAAAGAUUUUUAUUUCUUCCCACGUCCCCCUGUCGCAGGUUUAUCAGUUUAUAUUUUUUUAUUCUUAUUUUAAUAGGCUGAAUUUUUAAUUUUUCCUGGCUGUUCAUUACGGGAAAUUACUAAUACAUUAUUUAGCUAAGAAAUUAACAAUAGUUUCCUGACCAGAGAAGCUGGCUUCUAUUUCCCCCAAGUUUGGGGGUUUAGAGUGGGAAGUGGGAGUGAGGGAUAUGGUGGCAGCUAACUCUAGUGUGUUGAAGUCCUGUGAGCUUCUGGGAAGGGGGGACCUGAGGUUACCACUGGGAACCUCCUUUGCUGUGCAAACUGGGUGUCCGUAAUGGACCAGAAGGGUGUCUAUAGUGGCAGGAGACCUAGAGCUUCCCAGCAAGUAGAGCUUCACCUCCAAGUGAGGAGACCCAGAAAGACAGCCGGGAGCGUUUCCUCUCUUUGUUUACUUACUGCUCCACCUUCUGUCUUCACAGUUACUUUCCCUCCUUCCUUGCUCUGUAUGGUGCUCUUCACGUAGGAGGCUUUGGGCUCCGCGACAAAGACGGAUGUUUUAGCAUCGAAGGGCUUAUUUUGGGCCUCGAUCCGCUCCUUUUCGGAUUUUCGGAGGAAGGGAGCGGCUUCGCCAAAAACCGCCAUCUCAGCGUCUGAACUCGCGCUCAUGGCUGCGGUUUCUUUAGCAGAGGAUUCUGCCUUGGGGAAGAAAUGGGGCAGAGGGAGAAAUGGAAACCAGAAGUUAUACCUGUGAGCGAGGAUAUACAUGAAAGCAGUGUUGCACCCCAUUGCUUGGGCUGCCAGUGCUCCCCCAGGCUGUCCUUUACUGGUGUUCUCACACAGGCCAGAGGACUGGUCAGGCAUGUUAGGACUGGAGCUUCAUUCUUAGUACUUUGCAGAUUUCCUUAUAGAUCACGUCUCUUGAUCCUCAGGGCCAGAAUGCCUACACUGGAACCCUAUGUGUUUGAAUCUCUACACUGUAACAAUAUCUAUAGCUGGUGGAUUGUUCUAUAGCAGCUGCCUGUCUUUCAUCCCUGCUUUUCCUUCUGCAUGAUGUUUGCAUCUGCCAUAUAUCAGGACAGUCAUAUCGUUAGGAUAGAAGGUUUGUCUUGUGCAAAGGGAGGUUGAUACUUUCAAAGUUUUCAAAAAUGUGCUUUGCCUUUAUAAGUGGCUUUUUUUUUUUUACUCUUAAGACUUGUGUUAUUAUUAUUUUUUUAAAUUCAUUUAUUUGAGGGGAGAGGAGCAGAGGGGGAAGGAUGGGAAGAAUCUCAAGCAGGCACAGAGCCUGACGAAGGGAUGGCUCUCACAACCCUGAGAUCAUGACCUGAGCCAAAAUCAAGAGUUGAAUGCUUAACCUAUUGAGCCUCUCAGGUGCUCCAAAGCUUCUGUUAUUUUAAAAAUCUACUUUAUGUUAAUAGUUAGUAUUAAAUCUCUCAGUGGGUCAUUGAAAGAACGUUAUAAUAAAUUCUUAAUAUGGGUAGUUUUGCCUUUUGGCUUGUUACCAAGAGACUUAGUGUUGCCUUAAUUCCAGAAUCUCUUUUGACAGAUUGUUUUUCGCAUGAGAGAUUUCAACUGCCAGUUAACAGAUCUAAUUGCGGAGAAAGGAGAGCUUCAGGAUGAAGACCCUUCUUCCCACAUACAUUCUCGGGCUUCUUUUCUUUCCAUCAGUAAAAAGAAAAACAAACCAUAAUAAUGAAUUACUCUUCAGUUAUGACUUUCGUGUGAACCUCUCGGCUCUUCACCCGCAACUUGUUGACCUGGGACUCGGCAAUGUCAGCCCGCUCCUCUGCCUCCUCUAGCUCGUGCUGGAUCUUGCGAAACUUGGCAAGGUUGACAUUGGAUUGUUCCUCCUGAGACAAGAAACGCAUUUCAGAGAACAUGAAUAUUUGACAUUUUCGGAUUCUCACUGCCUUUGUUAUGAGAAGCAGCUACUGGAUUUACUUCAUAAAUGAGAAAGCAAAGGUUCUUUUAUUUGGUCAUGUACUUAUUUGGGUGCAAGGCAUCUCACACAGUCGCCUCUGUGAACAAGUGGGCUUACAACCCCCCACCCCCACCCCGGUUUUGUCUCUCUCACUUGAUUCUCUUCCUGGCAAACUUAAGAUGCUACAAUGUCAACUGGAAGAUCAAAGUAGUGGGAAUCUGGAUCUGUGAGACAAACUUUUAAAAGUAGGCACAGUGGUAGUACUGGGUGAAGAGAAACUUAAGAAAAGUUUCUGAAUUAACAGGACAAGAUAGAUUAUGAGAAAGGAGCCAAAUGAAAAAUGUUCUGAUGGAUUUGUUGUGAAGUUCAUUUAACAGAGCUUAGACUUCAGAGCCCUCAUGCGCAGCCCCUGUGAGUGCUGGAGAUUCCUGGGAGUAGUGGAGCGUUACAGAUAAGGGAGGGAAGUAGAUGGUAACUAAGAAACAUUUCUAAACUAACAUGGCUGGAAAAUUGCUUAAGGAGGUCUCCUAAGGUUCUAGUAAUUACUGGUAAACAUUUUUCAUUCUGAAUAUUCAUUUUCACAUCUAAUUUUGUACUCUUUUGCCUUAAAGAAAGGCUCUUAAAUACUAUAAACUAAAGACUCCACACAACCUGGGCCUGUUCCUGAACUUUUCUUCCUUAUUGUGAAGCUACUCACAGCCUCUUCAGCUUGUCUCUUGUAGGCUUUAACUUUGGUUUGCAAUUUGUCCACCAAGUCCUGCAACCUAAGAACGUUCUUGCGAUCUUCCUCAGUCUGAAAUGAGAGAGGUAGCAAACAGUGUUGUCACUGAAAAUGACUCCUCAUUUUUAUUUUCUUGAGAGCAGUAGGCCUGAGAUAUAUGGAAUGGUGGGUCACCUGGUAAGUGAGUUCCUUCACUCUUCUCUCAUGUUUACGAAGACCCUUGACAGCCUCAACGUUGCGCUUCUGUUCAUUUUCAACCUCAUUUUCAAGCUCCCUUACCUGGAAGAGAACAAAAGUGUUUAGCAGUUUGGCUGUAACUAGCUGCAUGAGCAGGUGGGGAAUUGAAUGAAGUGAUGGGCACCUACCCUGGCCUCCAGUUUCUGGAUCUGUUUCUUCCCGCCCUUCAGGGCCAGCUGCUCAGCCUCAUCCAGACGAUGCUGCAGGUCCUUCACCGUCUGCUCCAGGUUCUUCUUCAUCCGUUCCAGGUGGGCGCUGGUGUCCUGCUCCUUCUUCAGCUCCUCGGCCAUCAUGGCCGCCUGAUCAGCAGUAAAACAAAACCAGUUGAGAAAGGGAAGUGAGAACAUCAAGAUUCAAGUUUGACGAUCACCGUGCUGCCCUCUGCUCACGUCGGUGAUGGCCUUCUUGGCCUUCUCCUCUGCAUUGCGGGCUUCCUGGACGAUGUCCUCCAUCUCGCCCUGGAUCUGGGAAAUGUCUGUCUCCAGCUUCUUCUUGGUGUUGAUCAGACUGGUGUUCUGGUUAAAAUUUAUUAAAAAAAGAAAGGGAAGCCCAUUUAAUUCUGUUUACAUUUUCAUUGACUAGUGUACUUAGGCAAAAAUUCUUGAUUCAUAAAAAUUUCGGGAUAAAAACCAAA